UACGUAGGGUGCAAGCGUUAAUCGGAAUUACUGGGCGUAAAGCGUGCGCAGGCGGUUGUGCAAGACAGAUGUGAAAUCCCCGGGCUCAACCUGGGAACUGCAUUUGUGACUGCACGGCUAGAGUGUGUCAGAGGGGGGUAGAAUUCCACGUGUAGCAGUGAAAUGCGUAGAUAUCUGGAGGAACACCGGUGGCGAAGGCGGCAUCCUGGACCGGCAUUGACGCUGAGGCGCGAAAGCCAGGGGAGCAAACGGG
rnacentral:rRNA from 1 species